GGGCUUGUGGUCUAGUGGUUAGCUUCUCUUUAGAAGCUCACAAAUGAUAUCGCCUUGACGUGGCGGAGAUCCCCGGUUCAAUCCCGGGCAGGCCCA
rnacentral:tRNA from 1 species